rnacentral:rRNA from 1 species
UACGGAGGAUCCAAGCGUUAUCCGGAAUUACUGGGCGUAAAGAGUUGCGUAGGUGGCAUAGUAAGCCGGUAGUGAAAGCGUGGGGCUCAACCCCAUACACAUUAUCGGAACUGCUAAGCUAGAGGAUGAGAGAGGUUAUUGGAAUUCCCUGUGUAGGAGUGAAAUCCGUAGAUAUAGGGAGGAACACCGAUGGCGUAGGCAGAUAACUGGCUCAUUCCUGACACUAAGGCACGAAAGCGUGGGGAGCAAACGGGAUUAGAAACCCGUAGUAGUCC